rnacentral:lncRNA from 1 species
ACAUUGUCAGUUAUAGGGUAAGGACUUAUAUCAGUAUUAAAUAUUGAAGUGCCACCUACCUCUCAGGCAUGGCCCUGUUUACCCUAAUCAUAAUUAACUUUCAAACUCUGUGUCCAGUGAGCUCCUUCAUGACACUUGCAAUCUCAACCAGAUGUAACCAACCACUUCCAUAUGAAGACUCCUCCAUGCCCUCCAUAUCUUUUGUGGUAUUAGUAUAUAAAGUUGGCAGAUCAACGCUUCCCUUUAGAGCAUACUACUGUCAGAACUGCAAGAUGUGAAUGAAGAUCUUAUGGCUUAGAUUGUCUCUCUGUAAGAAAUGUCUCCUAAACAAAGUAAAGUGUCCUGGCUUUUCUCUCCCCACCUCCUUUCAUAAUGGCCCAGUAGAAAAAAUCAUCCACUGAGUUUGAAGCAUAGAAGAAAAUAGCUGGUAAGGCUCUCUGCCAACCAUUCUGACUCUGUUUCCUUAGAUGCUCCCAGGAUACUUAAUGUGAAUAGUCUGUUAAUAUUGCUGUAAAGUAUUGUAUGAAGACAGACAUGUCAUUUUAUUAGACUCCAUCAAUCUAUAAUAUAUUAGACUGAUUCUUUAUCUCAAAUGCGAUGAGUUUGUAUAAUAUAUCUUGACAAAUUUUAUUACCGUGUUAUGUAACAAAUGUGUAUUUUUGUACCUUGCAGAAACUGCUGCUAACUUUUAAAUUGUUUGGUUUUUCAAGGCACUGAAAAUGGACAUGUACCAAGUCCAUGCUGUCAAAUAAAAUGCCACCCUGCAGCUAACAGUCCCACAGAGAAAUACUGACUGCCGAGGAGAGUUCUUUCACUCAGCAAGCCUGAGCUCCCUUUGAGUUGACCAUUUCAUACAUAAUGAGUUGUGGCCUUAAGUUUUUACUCAUAGUUUUUCUAGGGGAAAAGGAGUGAAAUUGUUUUUCCUUUUUAUAUUUUUAAAUCUCGUUUAUCAAACAAGUUAUGUUUUAUACCUAGCCGUUCCCCUUUUGUCAGAAAUUGUGUUUUUUCAUUGUAUUCCCGGAGUGAUGCAGACAAGUUUGUCCACAUGCCAAAAGAAAUAACAGCUCACUUUGAUUGCAUGUAUGAGAUUUUCUUUCACAUUUAGGCCAUUCUGACAAAAGGACCAAGUUGACUUUCUACACAUACCAGGAUAUCUGUUCUUUGAUGUAUGACAGUUUCCCAAGACUACUGUAUCUCCUGACUUCUUGAGGUUUAUCAAGCAGUCUCUGUAUAAAUCUAACUACUAUUUCAAAGGGAUUUAUAACCUAGAAAAACUAGAUUUGCUCCAGCCAGGUGGAAAGGACAAAUCCACUUUGACAAAUGUUACUAAUUGUAUUUCUACAAUGUAUAAACACACACACACACACACACACACACACUAAAUUCUAUCCAAAUUUUAGAGAAACAAAUUUACUUUUAAUGAGGACUCGAUCUUAUGUUAAUAACUAUCUUCUUUAUAGUCUACUUAGCAGGUCAUAACACUGAAUCAGAAGGUUCUAAUUUGUCAACUCAAGAACAAGCUUUUUUUUUUAAUUACUCCCAGUAAAUUUUAUACUGUGAAUAAUAAAUUUGGGUAAAGC